rnacentral:rRNA from 1 species
GCGAUCAUACCAGCACUAAUGCACCGGAUCCCAUCAGAACUCCGAAGUUAAGCGUGCUUGGGCGAGAGUAGUACUAAGAUGGUGACCUCUUGGAAGUCCUCGUGUUGCACCCC